AGAGCACCUGCCCACACCAAUGACAUCACUGUUUCCAUAGAAAUAAAUGUACGUCAAAGGAGAGCUUCACAUACAAGCAACUGAGUGAUGUCAUCCAGAAAUGGGUUCGAAGCAGACAGCUCAUUCCAGAAUGGAUUUGUAGCUUUGGCAGCACUAUCACCACGGCACCAAUCAGGCAGUCAGAGAAGCUGUGUGAUCACAACUUCAAUGCAUUGUGGGAGAAAAGCCAUCAUCAAUGACUAUAUCUAACUGUAAACCCUGCAUAUUGCAAUACCAAACCACUUAAAAACAUGUGCAACAGUGGUGUGAAUGUUCCUCAUUUGUCUCUAGUACUCUUUUUCCCUGACACUACCUAAAGCAAUUUAUAUUUUAUGUGACAGUGACGCCAACAUACCGAAGUCGUUUGGUUUGUUACACCUCAUAAUUUUAUGACACUUUCCUUCUC